rnacentral:rRNA from 1 species
GCCUAAUACAUGCAAGUCGAGCGAACGGACGAGAAGCUUGCUUCUCUGAUGUUAGCGGCGGACGGGUGAGUAACACGUGGAUAACCUACCUAUAAGACUGGGAUAACUUCGGGAAACCGGAGCUAAUACCGGAUAAUAUUUUGAACCGCAUGGUUCAAAAGUAAAAGACGGUCUUGCUGUCACUUAUAGAUGGAUCCGCGCUGCAUUAGCUAGUUGGUAAGGUAACGGCUUACCAAGGCAACGAUGCAUAGCCGACCUGAGAGGGUGAUCGGCCACACUGGAACUGAGACACGGUCCAGACUCCUACGGGAGGCAGCAGUAGGGAAUCUUCCGCAAUGGGCGAAAGCCUGACGGAGCAACGCCGCGUGAGUGAUGAAGGUCUUCGGAUCGUAAAACUCUGUUAUUAGGGAAGAACAUAUGUGUAAGUAACUGUGCACAUCUUGACGGUACCUAAUCAGAAAGCCACGGCUAACUACGUGCCAGCAGCCGCGGUAAUACGUAGGUGGCAAGCGUUAUCCGGAAUUAUUGGGCGUAAAGCGCGCGUAGGCGGUUUUUUAAGUCUGAUGUGAAAGCCCACGGCUCAACCGUGGAGGGUCAUUGGAAACUGGAAAACUUGAGUGCAGAAGAGGAAAGUGGAAUUCCAUGUGUAGCGGUGAAAUGCGCAGAGAUAUGGAGGAACACCAGUGGCGAAGGCGACUUUCUGGUCUGUAACUGACGCUGAUGUGCGAAAGCGUGGGGAUCAAACAGGAUUAGAUACCCUGGUAGUCCACGCCGUAAACGAUGAGUGCUAAGUGUUAGGGGGUUUCCGCCCCUUAGUGCUGCAGCUAACGCAUUAAGCACUCCGCCUGGGGAGUACGACCGCAAGGUUGAAACUCAAAGGAAUUGACGGGGACCCGCACAAGCGGUGGAGCAUGUGGUUUAAUUCGAAGCAACGCGAAGAACCUUACCAAAUCUUGACAUCCUUUGACAACUCUAGAGAUAGAGCCUUCCCCUUCGGGGGACAAAGUGACAGGUGGUGCAUGGUUGUCGUCAGCUCGUGUCGUGAGAUGUUGGGUUAAGUCCCGCAACGAGCGCAACCCUUAAGCUUAGUUGCCAUCAUUAAGUUGGGCACUCUAAGUUGACUGCCGGUGACAAACCGGAGGAAGGUGGGGAUGACGUCAAAUCAUCAUGCCCCUUAUGAUUUGGGCUACACACGUGCUACAAUGGACAAUACAAAGGGCAGCGAAACCGCGAGGUCAAGCAAAUCCCAUAAAGUUGUUCUCAGUUCGGAUUGUAGUCUGCAACUCGACUACAUGAAGCUGGAAUCGCUAGUAAUCGUAGAUCAGCAUGCUACGGUGAAUACGUUCCCGGGUCUUGUACACACCGCCCGUCACACCACGAGAGUUUGUAACACCCGAAGCCGGUGGAGUAACCUUUUAGGAGCUAGCCGUCGAAGGUGGGACAAAUGAUUGGGGUGAAG